rnacentral:tRNA from 1 species
GCCGGAGUGGCGGGGCGGCAGACGCUGCGGCCUUAAAACCGCCGGGCACCCCGUACGGGUUCGAAUCCCGUCUCCGUUU